CCUACGGGUGGCAGCAGUGAGGAAUAUUGGUCAAUGGACGAGAGUCUGAACCAGCCAAGUAGCGUGAAGGAUGACUGCCCUAUGGGUUGUAAACUUCUUUUAUAUGGGAAUAAAAUGUUCUACGCGUGGGUGUCUGUAUGUAUCAUAUGAAUAAGGAUCGGCUAACUCCGUGCCAGCAGCCGCGGUAAUACGGAGGAUUCGAGCGUUAUCCGGAUUUAUUGGGUUUAAAGGGUGCGUAGGCGGACUUUUAAGUUAGCGGUAAAAUCUCCGGGCUCAACUCGGGCCGGCCGUUGAAACUGGGGAGCUUGAGUGGGCGAGAAGUAUGCGGAAUGCGUGGUGUAGCGGUGAAAUGCAUAGAUAUCACACAGAACUCCGAUUGCGAAGGCAGCAUACC
rnacentral:rRNA from 1 species